CGAAACCCUGGAGGACGGCCCGUCCGCCAUGCUGCAGAAGCGUGACCGCGACGACCGCGGCGAGCGUGGUUUCGGUGACCGCGGCUUCGGC
rnacentral:tRNA from 1 species